AUGCUGUGAUGACUAAAAAUACAACACAUCAUGCAGACAAAAAACUAUGGUGACAUUAAAACCCUGAGCAUA
rnacentral:snoRNA from 1 species